AACUCCUGGCAGUGGGCAAAGAGACACCUAUUUGUUGGUGUUCUUAUGUCAGUCAGGGGAAGAGCAGUUGGCAGUCCUUUGUUCAUUCUAGCUUGAUGCCUGGCUUGGUGGCCAAAGCUCUUUCAUGCCUGGGGCACAGAA